rnacentral:rRNA from 1 species
UCUGGUCCUUGUGUGCCCGCCGCCGCGGUAAUACGGCCGGUCCCGGCGUUAUCCGGAUUUAUUGGGUUUAAAGGGAGCGCAGGCGGACCUUUAAGUCAGCUGUGAAAUACGGCGGCUCAACCGUCGAACUGCAGUUGAUACUGGAGGUCUUGAGUGCACACAGGGAUACUGGAAUUCAUGGUGUAGCGGUGAAAUGCUCAGAUAUCAUGAAGAACUCCGAUCGCGAAGGCAGGUAUCCGGGGUGCAACUGACGCUGAGGCUCGAAAGUGCGGGUAUCAAACAGG